rnacentral:rRNA from 1 species
CCGGUGACAAACCGGAGGAAGGUGGGGAUGACGUCAAGUCAUCAUGGCCCUUACGGCCUGGGCUACACACGUGCUACAAUGGUCGGUACAAAGGGUUGCCAAGCCGCGAGGUGGAGCUAAUCCCAUAAAACCGAUCGUAGUCCGGAUCGCAGUCUGCAACUCGACUGCGUGAAGUCGGAAUCGCUAGUAAUCGUGAAUCAGAAUGUCACGGUGAAUACCGUUCCCGGGCCUU